GAAGUGAAAAGCUAGAUUACAAAGCUAGUAAGUAGCAGAGUCCGGACUUAAACUCAGCUCUCUGAAGCGCUCCCUCUGCGUCCUCUUCACAAUGCAAGACUGCCUCUCGAACCACGUUAACUGCGGCCGUAUCACACCGCCGGUCACCAGGGAACAGCCCGGAGUCCUUCGGCUGCUCUGUCUUGAUCAGGCUGGAAGCUCUGAGGAAGCUGAUCACGGACUUCCCUUGUGAUGUCAGAAGCAGAUUUCUAAAUAAGGAAGAAUAAUACGAACUCAUUUGUAGUUACUAACCUUCUGCCC